CAAGAUGGACAGUAGAACUGUGUUACUGCUUCUAACCGUCUGCUGGGCAGGUGUUAAUGGUCAGACUUUGACAGAAUCUGAACCGGUGGUUAAAAACCCUGGAAGUUCCCACAGACUGACCUGUACAGCCUCUGGAUUUGACAUCAGCAGCUCCUGGAUGGCCUGGAUCAGACAGGCUCCUGGAAAAGGACUGGAGUGGAUUGCUAUUAUAGAAUAUGACAGUGAUAAUAUCUUCUACUCUCAGUCAGUCCAAGGUCGGUUUAUCAUCUCCAGAGAAAACAGUAAACAGCAGGUGUAUCUGCAGAUGAACAACCUGAAAACUGAAGAUUCUGCUGUUUAUUAUUGUGCUCGAUGAGCCACAGUGACUGAAGACAGAAAAGAAGCUGUACAAAAACCUCAGUGGCAAUAAAGAUCAAAUUAAUUUUAUUUUCUCAUGAUGAUUAACAACAUUAGCAAAAUUGAUUCAUAGUAUUUAAUUAAUUCACAUCAAUAUACAUGUUUAGAAUAUUUAUUUGAUAACCUGUAGUAACUACAUCAUUUAGCCACUCAGCUGUGUGAGGGGAGACAUCUAUUUAUAACGCGCUUCAAGAUUCAGUCCAAAAGCAACUUUCCGUGUUGAGUGAAGUUAUUUUCAAUGAUCAAAAGAAAAGGUGCAAAUGACAAAAUCUGUGAUAGCAGUAAAAACGGUCUCAUUGUCCACAAGCUAAUUAGAAAGUCCCACAUCACCUGUGGCUGCAAU